AAAAAUCCCGUUUGUCAUGACGGGCGCGCUCCCCCCCUGGCACAGAACAGAGCACCAAGAGCCGAAAACAGAACCAGCGUUUGUCGUCAUCCGGAUAGUAAACACAGUUCCUAAAAGGAGUGAGAGAUCGUCAGGCAUUUUCAUGUAGCUGCUUCUACAGUUAUUUUGGAGAGGAAGAAUGCUGCUGAGGGAAACAGGAAUCUACUUGGAGGGAGCGAGAGGACACGGGAAUGCGCUCUACAGGAAGAAAUUUCUCACCUGGGAGCAAUGAGGAAGGAGGCAGUUGGGAGUUGGAAGAGGAGACGGUGCUGGGAGUUGGAAGAGAAGAGGUACAGAGAAAAUGGCAGAGGACUGUACCUGUGACUCUGCACCAGCAAGUCUGACACUCCUCAAAAAUAGAGGAGAAUAAAGAAGAGAGAGGAACUCAGAAAGUCCAGAAAUGGCACAGCCUGUGAUUGCCUUCAGAAUGAGGUUUCUAAGAAAAUGUUAAGAAUAUGCUAAAAGUUACUUCUUUCUGAAUCUUGAGAGGCAGCAGCAUGUGUGCUUUGAUCUCAACCCAAACAGGCUUGUCUACUCCAGGUUCCCAGAAGAAAGUAUUCAGCCUUGACUAAAAAGUAAAUAACAUUCUUUAUAAAAUCCCAACCAUUUCCUUUGUUAUUAUAUGAUUAAUAAAAGGCAGGAGGACUGUGAUUGCACGUGAAUAUGAUCUUAAUCAUUGUUGAACUUCUCCAUGUGGAACAGAAAUGAUGGUGGUUACCUGAUGACUAGAUUCAAGUUUCUUCUGAGUACUUUCUCUUCUCUAUGAUGGUUCUCAGUGCCCUCCUGAUCAGUGACAAAUAAAGCUCUGGGAGGCAAGGUGGGGUUGCCUUUAUAUAUCAUCAAAUUCC